rnacentral:lncRNA from 1 species
GGGACAGCUUGUAUGGUUGGCAGUUGUUUGAAUUGAGAAAUGGAUUUUAAUGAACUACAGUUUCUUUUGCUCAGCUGGAAUUGAAGUAGUCAAAGACUAAAUUAACAGUUGCCGGCAAAGCUAAUAUGACAGCCGUUGUCACAGAAAAGGAAAGGUAAGGGUUUAUUUUGUGCUGCUCUAUGAGGAUCAUGCUCUUGAAAUAAUGGGUUUUGCAACUUCACACUUUUGAGAUACUUUGGUGUUCUUUUUAAGAUACCAAAAGGCUCCGCCAAGAUAGUUUUAUUUAUUUUUUAUUUCAUUUUUUCUUUUUUAGGGCUCCACCUGCAUGCCUGCAGCAUAUGGAAGCUCUGCUCCAGGCAUCAAACUGGAGCAAUAGCUGAGGCCUAGGCCGUAGCCACAGUAAUGGGGGAUCCCAGCUGCUUCUGCCACCUACACUGCAGCUUGCAGCAAAGCUGGAUCCUUAACCUAUUGAAUGAGGCCUGGUAUUGAAUUUGUGUCUUCAUGGACACUAGUCAGGUUCUUAACCCACUGAGCCACCACUGGAACUCUCUUCAAGGUAGUUUUGAAAAUCUCAGAGGUCAGGAGAAGGGUAGCAACCUGGCUGAAAGUCAUUCAUUAUUAAUCAGAUAGUAAUUUAUAUUCAUCUUGUGACUUAGGGUACAUUGUCUGAGAUUUUACUUCAUCAUGGCCAAGUGCACUAGGUCCCUAACAGUAUUCCUUUUGUUGUUUGUUUUUUUCAUCUUUUUAGGGCCAAACUAGCAGUAUGUGGAGGUUCCCAGGCUAGGGGUUGAAUCAGUGCUGUAGCCGCCAGCAUGCCCCACAGCUCACAGCAACACCGGAUUCUUAACCACCGAAUGAAGCCAGGGAUCGAACCUGCGUCUUUAUGGAUACCAGUCAGAUUCGUUUCCACUGAGCCACGACGGGAACUCCAUUAUUCCUCUUGAACAUCUAAGGAUACAAAUGCAGAUAAAGGUUAAUUCAUAUGGACCAACAGAAUAAAAAUUAGAAUUAAUAUUCCCUAACUUUUAAUUUAAUGAGUAGUGUAGUUCCUACUACUUCUGUGUGCCUCAUAAACAUUGCUUCAGGCAUUUUGAAAGCACUUUUUAUUACACAGUAUGCAAAUUAAAAUUAUUAUCAAGUUUGUUGUUCAUUUUUUUUGUUCUUUUGUUGUUCAUAUUUAGUUCAUUACUUCCUAGGGAAGUGAACUUGCUGAUUACUUUUGCAGAAAACUGCUAACGAUGUGUUUUAAAUACAGUCUUACUCAUUUAUCAUUUUGAUAUAGACUUAGAUUUAAUACACUAUACAGUUAGUUUCUUUAAAAGCCAUGUAACAAUUUUGCAACAAAGUGGAAAUGUUGUGACUUAAAUUUGAAAUGCACCAUCUUUCCAAAAGCUUGGAUGAAACAAAAUGAAAGAAUAAUCUAGUGAAAAAAACCUGCAUCACAAAAAAGUCUUUGUUCCUCUCUUGUCGUGACAGAUUGCAUUUUAUUCCCAAUGAUAAAGUAUAAAGAUAUAUCCUUUGUAAAUAUCUCUUGAGUUUAGGGUGACUAAGUCACUGCAGUUUGCCCAGGACUUGGCAAGUUUUAGCUCUGAAAGUCUCUCUUUCUGGGAAACACCUCAAGUGCAAGCAAAUUAGGAUGGUUGAUCAUUCUACUUGUAUAUGAAAAUUUCCUAGGUAGAGUAGGGUUCAGGAGUGGCUUGCUUCAGGGCUCAAAUAAUGUCAUCUGGGGUCCACCUCAGGAUAGGCUGCAUUCUCGGGCUUGACAAAAUGGCCACUGAUAAUUUCAGGGGACUGGAACUCAUUUCCUCAUUUUUAGUAAAAUGAGUCAAACUUCAAACCUUAUUUUUCCACUCCAUCAAAACCAGUAGGUGUUCCUAUCAUGGCAGAGCGUGAAUGAAUCUGACUAGGAACCAUGAGAUUUCAGGUUCAAUCCCUGGCCUUAUUUAUAGCUUAAGGAUCUGGCAUUGCCGUGAGCUGUAGUGUAGGUUGCAGACGGGCUUGGAUCUGAUGUUGCUGUGGCUGUGGUGUAGGCUGGCAGCUGUAGCUCCCAUUGGACCCCUAGCCUGGGAACCUCCAUGUGCUGCGAGUGCAGCUCUAAAAAGCAAAAACAAAACGAAACAAAACAGUAGAAGUAGAAAAAGUGUCUAUCUUACAGNUGGUUUGUUCUACCAAUCAGGAUCCAUUUCUAGAGCUGGAGAUGAAGUUGAUGUGUGGUUGAUGAUACAUUUUCCUAAGAAAAUUUUGUUGUCUUCAAAGAGAAGGGAGGUAAUAUUGGCUAUUAGCAAUAUUUCAGCCUUUUACCUUGCCCACAAUUGAGAAAUGUAGGGAACUUUUGCUUUUGUGAAGGAUGUAGUAAGUAGUAGUGGCAGGUCAUGGCUUCUGUCAUAAAAGUUGGGGAGAAAAACAGAGAAAUUACAAAAAUUGCAUUUUUAAAGAUCUUGGACAGAUGAUCAAAAAAAGGACUGGAUCAUUAGUUCUCAGACUUUAACAUGUAUUGGAAUUAUCUGGAGGGCUCUUAUUGUUGUUGUUGUCUUUUUAGGCCCACACCCAUGGCAUAUGGAGGUUCCCAGAGUAGGACUUGAAUCAGAGCUACAGCUGCCAGCCUACACCACAGCCACAGCAAUAUGGGAUCCGAGCCACAUCUGCAACCUACACUGCAGCUCACGGCAAUGCCAGAUCCUUAACCGACUGAGCAAGGCCAGGGAUUGAACCUGCAUUUUCAUGGAUGCUAGUUGGGUUUGUUAGCUGCUGAGCCACCACAGGAACUAUAGGAGAGCUUGUUGAAACAGUUACUGGGUUUCACUCUAUAGAGUUGUUGAUUCAUUAGGCAUGAGUUGGGACCAGGAAAUUUUUGUUUCUAACAUGUUUUCAGAUACUGCUGAUUUGGUGACCAUACUAAACUAGAUGGAAUAAAAUUUCAGGGGAAAGAGCCCUUCCUAAUAAGCAGAGAUUUCUGCCCAGUUUCUUCCCAAGGGACAUAGUACUGAGCCUGCAGAGGCAUGUGUUCAAUCCCUGGCCUGGUACAUGGGUUAAGGAUCCCUCAUUGCCACAGCUAUGGCAUAGGUUGCUGCUGUGGCUCGGGUUCAAUCCCUGGCUUGGAGCUUCCAUAUGCCAUGAGUGUGGCCAAAAGAAAAAGAAAAAAAAAAAA